UAAAAGACGAACGAAGGUUAAAAGCGAUAAUAUGAUUGGUCGGUUCCUAAACAGUCAUACCUGGGAUUUGAUUGGCUUAGAGAUAACACCAGGAAAAAACGCGCCAUUUGCAGUUUGCCAAAAUAAAUUUAAUAAUAAAUAAUGACAAAACAUUGUGUAUUUUGCAUUAUGAAUUGGAUUUGAGAUCAUUUUGAUUGAGCAGAAACAAUCACAGUUUAUUACCGAAUACUUGGCUAUGGCGGAAAAUGAAGAACUUCGAUCAAGUUUCGGAUGUCCUACUAUUUUCGUCACGUUUGGAAGGAAAAAAAGAAAAAUCGUCAGCACAUUCUGGUCAUCAUAUUAUGGAAAUAUUUGUGACUGAAUCCCAUCUGAAUGUUGGAUGACAUAUAUCAAGAUGACACUGAACAGGACAACUGAGGAAAAUGGAUGUGAAAUAAUCCAAUCUAACAGUUGGAAAUAAAUAUAUAUAGUAUUUA